GACGAACGCUGGCGGCGCGCCUAACACAUGCAAGUCGAACGAGCGAGAGAGAGCUUGCUUUCUCGAGCGAGUGGCGAACGGGUGAGUAACGCGUGAGGAACCUGCCUCAAAGAGGGGGACAACAGUUGGAAACGACUGCUAAUACCGCAUAAGCCCACGGCUCGGCAUCGAGCAGGGGGAAAAGGAGCAAUCCGCUUUGAGAUGGCCUCGCGUCCGAUUAGCUAGUUGGUGAGGUAACGGCCCACCAAGGCGACGAUCGGUAGCCGGACUGAGAGGUUGAACGGCCACAUUGGGACUGAGACACGGCCCAGACUCCUACGGGAGGCAGCAGUGGGGAAUAUUGCACAAUGGGGGAAACCCUGAUGCAGCGACGCCGCGUGGAGGAAGAAGGUCUUCGGGUUGUAAACUCCUGUUGUUGGGGAAGAUAAUGACGGUACCCAACAAGGAAGUGACGGCUAACUACGUG
rnacentral:rRNA from 1 species